rnacentral:rRNA from 1 species
AGUGAACGCUGGCGGUAGGCCUAACACAUGCAAGUCGAACGGCAGCACAGUAAGAGCUUGCUCUUACGGGUGGCGAGUGGCGGACGGGUGAGGAAUACAUCGGAAUCUACUUUUUCGUGGGGGAUAACGUAGGGAAACUUACGCUAAUACCGCAUACGACCUACGGGUGAAAGCAGGGGAUCUUCGGACCUUGCGCGAUUGAAUGAGCCGAUGUCGGAUUAGCUAGUUGGCGGGGUAAAGGCCCACCAAGGCGACGAUCCGUAGCUGGUCUGAGAGGAUGAUCAGCCACAUUGGAACUGAGACAAGGUCCAGACUCCUAAGGGAGGCAGCAGUGGGGAAUAUUGGACAAUGGGCGCAAGCCUGAUCCAGCCAUACCGCGUGGGUGAAGAAGGCCUUCGGGUUGUAAAGCCCUUUUGUUGGGAAAGAAAAGCAGCAGGUUAAUACCCCGCUGUUCUGACGGUACCCAAAGAAUAAGCACCGGCUAACUUCGUG